rnacentral:tRNA from 1 species
GCCGAGGUGGCGGAAUGGUAGACGCGGCGGACUUAAAAUCCGCUUCCCGCAAGGGAGUGUGGGUUCGAGUCCCUCCCUCGGCA